rnacentral:rRNA from 1 species
UUUAUGGAGAGUUUGAUCCUGGCUCAGGAUGAACGCUGGCGGCGUGCCUAAUACAUGCAAGUCGAGCGAACGGAUGAGAAGCUUGCUUCUCUGAUGUUAGCGGCGGACGGGUGAGUAACACGUGGAUAACCUACCUAUAAGACUGGGACAACUUCGGGAAACCGGAGCUAAUACCGGAUAAUAUUUUGAACCGCAUGGUUCAAAAGUGAAAGACGGUCUUGCUGUCACUUAUAGAUGGAUCCGCGCUGCAUUAGCUAGUUGGUAAGGUAACGGCUUACCAAGGCAACGAUGCAUAGCCGACCUGAGAGGGUGAUCGGCCACACUGGAACUGAGACACGGUCCAGACUCCUACGGGAGGCAGCAGUAGGGAAUCUUCCGCAAUGGGCGAAA